AUUGAACGCUGGCGGCAUGCUUUACACAUGCAAGUCGAACGGUAACAGGCCGCAAGGUGCUGACGAGUGGCGAACGGGUGAGUAAUGCAUCGGAACGUGCCCAGUCGUGGGGGAUAACUACUCGAAAGAGUAGCUAAUACCGCAUACGAUCUAUGGAUGAAAGCGGGGGACCGUAAGGCCUCGCGCGAUUGGAGCGGCCGAUGUCAGAUUAGGUAGUUGGUGGGGUAAAGGCUCACCAAGCCAACGAUCUGUAGCUGGUCUGAGAGGACGACCAGCCACACUGGGACUGAGACACGGCCCAGACUCCUACGGGAGGCAGCAGUGGGGAAUUUUGGACAAUGGGCGCAAGCCUGAUCCAGCAAUGCCGCGUGCAGGAAGAAGGCCUUCGGGUUGUAAACUGCUUUUGUACGGAACGAAACGGCUCUGGUUAAUACCCGGGGCUAAUGACGGUACCCUAAGAAUAAGCACCGGCUAACUACGUG
rnacentral:rRNA from 1 species